rnacentral:lncRNA from 1 species
UGGGACUUUUGAGGGUAUAAAAUGGAAAGUAAUUGAGACUUUGUAAUCGAAGAAGUAACAAGUUCAGAGCUGCAUUGGGAGAUGACUGCAAUGACUGCUUAAGAUAAGGAUGAAUACCGAGGGUGUAUAACAAGAUCAGCGAGAAGAGGAUUGCCAUUGUUCCACCUGGACUAAGCCUAGCGGGAGAAAAACAAGCAGGGCCAGGGUGCAACAGCGGCUGGACAGGGAGAAAGCAGCAGUCAAGGAGCAUUCAGGGCACAAGACUGUCCGUAAGUGGAAGCAUCUACUGAGGCUUAGACGAAUAUAACCAUGAAUAUCAAUAAGAUCCUUGAUCCUUCUCAGCAUAGGUGAGUGUGCUGGGGCCAUUUCCCAGCUCUUUGAGAGAUGAGGGGCUAUUACGCCCUUGCACUUUUUAACCUCCUAUUCUGUAGAGACAG